rnacentral:lncRNA from 1 species
CACCCUGUGCAUCUUGGUUGCCCAUGGUUAGUAUGGUGAGGCAUGAUUCCUAGCCAUAAUUCCACCUACACCAGGAAUCAUGAUACCACGGUUUCUGACUGGCGUAAUACACCAUAGGAUACAAUGCGACUGGGUCGUCUUAUGUACAUGACCGUGGUAUCAUGAUUCCUGGUGUAAGUGGAAUUAUGACACUGGUAUCAUGAUUCCUGGUGUAGGUGGAAUUAUUUGGAACCCGUGGUUGAACUUUACCUUAAAAAGGGGCCGCAUAAUGCUCGGUACUCGGGUAGUAGCAGUCAUAAAGCAAUCACAGCUUCCAAAUGUUUCUUUCUCAUGCUCAUGUCUAAAUCUGUCAGCCAUUUAGCAGUAUUUUUCUUACUUUUUGUCAUGACUUAUCAGCCAAAUAAACAAGACAGUGCAACUUUUAGACUUCUGACUGGCUUGCUGGCUGUUAUUUUUUUUUCUAUAUGAGCUUUUGCAAUAGAUUUUAAGCUUCUCGGCACACCAAAGCCAGAAAAGCUUUCAGGGACAUAUUUUUCAGCUUUUAUUUUAGUUUAUUAUUUUUGC